rnacentral:rRNA from 1 species
GACAGAGGGUGCAAACGUUGUUCGGAAUUACUGGGCGUAAAGAGCUCGUAGGUGGUUUGUCGCGUUGUUCGUGAAAACUCACAGCUUAACUGUGGGCGUGCGGGCGAUACGGGCAGACUGGAGUACUGCAGGGGAGACUGGAAUUCCUGGUGUAGCGGUGGAAUGCGCAGAUAUCAGGAGGAACACCGGUGGCGAAGGCGGGUCUCUGGGCAGUAACUGACGCUGAGGAGCGAAAGCGUGGGGAGCGAACAGG